rnacentral:rRNA from 2 species
AACGCCGCGGUGUGCCUAAUACAUGCAAGUCGUACGCACUGGCCCAACUGAUUGAUGGUGCUUGCACCUGAUUGACGAUGGAUUACCAGUGAGUGGCGGACGGGUGAGUAACACGUAGGUAACCUGCCCCGGAGCGGGGGAUAACAUUUGGAAACAGAUGCUAAUACCGCAUAACAACAAAAGCCACAUGGCUUUUGUUUGAAAGAUGGCUUUGGCUAUCACUCUGGGAUGGACCUGCGGUGCAUUAGCUAGUUGGUAAGGUAACGGCUUACCAAGGCGAUGAUGCAUAGCCGAGUUGAGAGACUGAUCGGCCACAAUGGAACUGAGACACGGUCCAUACUCCUACGGGAGGCAGCAGUAGGGAAUCUUCCACAAUGGGCGCAAGCCUGAUGGAGCAACACCGCGUGAGUGAAGAAGGGUUUCGGCUCGUAAAGCUCUGUUGUUGGAGAAGAACGUGCGUGAGAGUAACUGUUCACGCAGUGACGGUAUCCAACCAGAAAGUCACGGCUAACUA